rfam:Triticum aestivum genome assembly, contig: Triticum_aestivum_CS42_TGACv1_scaffold_579133_7BL
UUAAAUUUUACUCCGUCCGGAAAUACCUGUUGAGAAAUGAAUGUAUCUAGACGUAUUUUGGUUCUAGAUACAUCCAUUUUUAUCCAUUACUCCGACAAGUAUUUCCGGACGGAGGGGAGUAGUA